UUAUCAGUGUCACGUGACUGAGAUUUUGGCAGGGGGUUUUCACGCGCGCUCUUUUCACUUUCCUUCAUACAUUCUUCAUUUUUUAGAAGCCCAACAUUCCCAAUUCCAUUAUUAUACUUCGCAAAUGGAAAUAACACCAUGUACAUAUUCUCAUAAUUUCACACUGUCAUAUUUACCACGUUCGUAACAAUGGAAUAUUACAGUGGCGGGUCCGAACCCAGGACAUUCUAUUUUUUCUAUUGCAACCUUUUCGGAAAAUUACCACAGCGGGUCCGAACCCACGAAGUUCAAUUUGUGUAUUAGAGGCCAAACCUUCCGUAAUAUUUUGCGCACGGGUAUUACAUUUCACCACCUCCUCUAGAGAAAUAAUUUUCCCUGUCGUCGAGUUUCCCGUUCCGGCAGCACGCGAGUCUCGCGGGCACGUUACCUGGUGUUUUCAUUAAUCAAGAACGAAAGUUAGAGGUUCGAAGGCGAUCAGAUAGCGCACUAGUUCUAACCAUAAACAAUGCCAGCUAGCAAUCUGCCGAAGUUCCUUCGAUGACUCGGCAGGCAGCUUCCGGGAAACCAAAGCUUUUGGGUUCCGGGGGAAGUAUGGUUGCAAAGCAGAAACUUAAAGGAAUUGACGGAAGGGCACCACCAGAAGUGGAGCCUGCGGCUUAAUUUGACUCAACACGGGAAACCUCACCAGGCCAGGACACCGGAAAGAUUGACAGAUUGAGAGCUCUUUCUGGAUUCGGUGGGUGGUGGUGCAUGGCCGUUCUUAGUUGGUGGAGCGAUUUGUCUGGUUAAUUCCGAUAACGAACGAGACUCUGGUCUGCUAACUAGUCGCUUCCGGUAUCCCUUCGUGCUACCGGCGACAAAUGAUCUUCUUAGAGGGACAGGCGGCUUCUAGCCGCACGAGAUUGAGCAAUAACAGGUUUGUGAUGCCCUUAGAUGUUCUGGGCCGCACGCACGAUACACUGAAGUAAUCAGCGUGUCCUCCUAGCCCGGAAUGGGCCGGGUAACCUGUUGAACCUCCUUCAUGCUAGGGAUUGGGGCUUACAAUUGUUCCCCAUGAACAAGGAAUUCCCAGUAAGUGCGAGUCAUAAGCUCGCGUUGAUUAAGUCCCUGCCCUUUGUACACACCGCCCGUCGCUACUACCGAUUGAACGAUUUAGUGAGGUCUUCGGACCGGUGCGCGACGGCUCGCUCGUCGAGUCGUUGAUGUUGCUAGAAAGAUGACCAAACUUGAUGAUUUAGAGGAAGUAAAUGUCGUAACAAGGUUUCCGUAGGUGAACCUGCGGAAG
rnacentral:rRNA from 1 species